GGGGAUCUAGCUCAGUGGUAGAGCGCUUGCCUAGCAAGCACAAGGCCCUGGGUUUAGUCCCCAGCUCCG
rnacentral:tRNA from 1 species